rnacentral:tRNA from 1 species
GGGGCUGUAGCUCAGUGGCAGAGUGCUCACCUAGCAUGUGUGAGGCAAUGGGUUCAAUCCUCAGCACCA